AUGGGCUCUCACCUACGAGUGGACAUGAUCACAAAGAAGGGCAAGAACAUGAAGAUCAUCAGCCAAAUCGAGAACGAUGAAGGUGUCCGCAGGUUUGAUGAGAUCUUGGAAGCCAGUGAUGGGAUCAUGGUGGCUCGUGGUGACCUGGGCAUUGAGAUUCCUGCAGAGAAGGUCUUCCUGGCUCAGAAGAUGAUGAUUGGACGGUGCAACCGAGCUGGGAAGCCUGACAUCUGUGCCACACAGAUGCUGGAGAGCAUGAUCAAGAAGCCACGCCCCACCCGUGCUGAAGGCAGUGAUGUGGCCAAUGCAGUCCUGGAUGGAGCAGACUGCAUCAUGCUGUCUGGAGAAACAGCCAAGGAGGACUACCCUCUGGAGGCUGUUCGCAUGCAGCACCUGAUUGCCCGAGAGGCAGAGGCUGCCAUCUACCACUUGCAGCUAUUCGAGGAAUUCCGCCACCUGGCGCCCAUUACCAGCGACCCCACAGAAGCUACCGCCGUGGGUGCCGUGGAGGCCUCCUUCAAGUGCUGCAGUGGGGCCAUUAUCUUGCUCACCAAGUCUGGCAGGAGUGCUCACCAAGUGGCCAGGUACUGCCCUCGGGCUCCUAUCAUUGCUGUGACUCGCAAUCCCCAGACUGCUCGCCAGGCCCAUCUGUACCGCGGCAUCUUCCCUGUGCUGUGUAAGGAUGCUGUACUGAAUGCCUGGGCUGAAGAUGUUGACCUUCGUGUAAACUUGGCCAUGGAUGUUGGCAAGGUCCGAGGCUUCUUCAAGAAGGGAGAUGUGGUCAUUGUGCUGACCGGGUGGCGCCCUGGCUCUGGCUUAACCAACACCAUGCAUGUAGUGCCUGUGCCUUGAUGGCCCUCUGGAGCCCCUCUUCUAGCCCCUGUCCCUUCCCCUCCCCUAUCCUAUCCAUUAGGCCAGCAACGCUUGUAGUGCUUACUCCGGGCCAUAGUGUGAGGCUGGUGGGCUGGGACACCAGGGAAAAUUAAUGCCUCUGAAACAUGCAAUAGAGCCCAGCUAUUUUUCAUGGCCCUACUUGAGCCAGGGGUGAAGGAAGAAUGCAGGAUUGGAAACCCUCUGACUUUAUCACAGAAGGGCAGCAUCAUCUCUGUGUACUUUGCUCCUGUAGAAAGUUGUCCAGAGAAUUCCCAGCCCUAGCCUGGAGUCCAAAGACUGGA